CAUCAUCUUCCUCUGAGUGCCCUGUAUUUGUGGAAGCCUGAACUCAGAUACUUUCCCUCAGCAUGAACGGUCUAACUCCUGAGGUCCUGCAAUGGCUGUUCUACUUCCAGCAACUUUAAAAAUUCAAUUUUGUGUACCACAGUAUCAGUUCAUAAGAAUAAAAGGCCUUCUGGUUAUCAGAACUAGACCAUCCAGUUCAGCCUGUAAGGAGAAGAAGGUUUUAUCUGUGUGUGCAAAGGGAAGACUGCAGGGAGAGACUGUUUCAUGUCUGAACGGAGAUUGCCUAAGAAUGUCUGAACAGAAUUGCCUAAGAUCCAGGAAGACAGACCAGUCUCAAGAAUAUUCUUCACUCCUUUCCUGAGCUUCACAAAGCAGGUUUUGACUACUGGGCAAAGCUAUGGGUGGACCUGACUGAGCAGCAGCAUGUAGCAUAAGAGAUCUCCAAGCCAGAGAGAGACUGUGGUGCUGCAGAGAUGUGAGACAGUGGAAGUCCCCUGAACUCCUCAUAAGGCCCACAUGAGCACUGAAGAUGCCUUUUUGGUUAUGGCAAAGAAAAAACCCAUGAGACCCGAAUUUGUGAACCUGGCAUUCCUGAUUUCAACUGGAAUGAGACAAGGCAGCUAUUGUAAAUCAUGUCAGUAGCCUCCACUGACAGACAAUGUAUGUGAAAUGGGAGUCAGAUCCUAUUAGUCUCUUGGAUCAGCAAAAAUGAAAUCUAGGUUUCUCAUUGUAUUAAUUGAAAACUAGAUACUACGUAAGUGCCAGAAUUUUGCAUGAAGGAACAUAUUCCUAGUAACUAACAUGAUUUAGAGAAAAAAGGAAGGAAUUCACAUUCACCUCAUGUUUUCAGUAUUUCAGUCUUGAAAAAUGUUUGUCUGGGCUUUUCCUGUCAGUUUUGACCUGAGCUGGUUAGAGACUUGAAUGUCCAUAACUGCAGAGGAGUUUUUGAACCUGAAGUAAUUAUGUCAAAUAAUAACUAUUAUUUUUGCACUUCUAUAAGUUUUUUAGAACUGUGCUAACAUCGUCUAUAAAAACACCUUGCUGAAUGAAGGAUCUAAAGCAGAUUUUCAGCAAUGAUUGAAUC